rnacentral:rRNA from 1 species
GUGCCAGACUCCUACGGGAGGCAGCAGUGGGGAAUAUUGGGCAAUGGGCGCAAGCCUGACCCAGCAACGCCGCGUGAAGGAAGAAGGCUUUCGGGUUGUAAACUUCUUUUAUGAGGGACGAAAGAAAUGACGGUACCUCGUGAAUAAGCCACGGCUAACUACGUACCAGCAGCCGCGGUAAUACGUAGGUGGCAAGCGUUAUCCGGAUUUACUGGGUGUAAAGGGCGUGUAGGCGGGCUUGCAAGUCAGAAGUGAAAUCUGGGGGCUUAACUCCCAAACUGCUUUUGAAACUGUGGGUCUUGAGUGAUGGAGAGGCAGGCGGAAUUCCCAGUGUAGCGGUGAAAUGCGUAGAUAUUGGGAGGAACACCAGUGGCGAAGGCGGCCUGCUGGACAUUAACUGACGCUGAGGCGCGAAAGCGUGGGGAGCAAACAGGAUUAGAUACCCGCGUAG